UGCGAUGACCGCUUCGGCGGUCUACCUGCGGCGAGGGAAUCCGGUGCGAAUCCGGGGCUGACGCGCAACGGUGACGCCCGCUCGGGCGGAGCCCGAAUGCUCGCUGACGGUAUCCAUGCUGU
rnacentral:ncRNA from 1 species